rnacentral:ncRNA from 1 species
ACUUCACUAGUGCAAACUCUAAUGUCUUGGAAUACUUUAUAAUGAGGAGGUGCUUUACUUAUGGCUGGAGAUAUCGUUAACACAGUUUUUGCUUUCAUUAAGUUAAUCGUCGAAACUAUUGAAAAAUUCACUAAGAAGUAAUCAUUCUCCCAAAUGCUAAAAAUCUUUUUCCAUUAGUAAUUGAAGCUUAAAAUCAGGUUUCUAUAUUGAGACUAUUGUAAACAUUUAAUAAUCGGUAAAUUCACUAAAUUUUUUCAUAAUUAAUAACAUCCCCAAUUAAUUAAAUAGAAUAACUGUAAACAAAUAAACAUUCCCUUAAUAUUAAAUUUAAAGGCGAGCCCCUCCCAAGCUCGCCUUUUU